GCUAUAGCAACGUUUACUCCGCUGUCGUCCAGCUACAGUGACGAUCACUUUGCUAGUUAGCGCAGCUAGUUAACCAUAACACGAGUAAACCUUAUUAUUAGACACCGCAGCAACGUCAUAUAUCUUCAUCCAGGAGGAGUAGGAGGAGACACCCGGUCGCUGUUCUCCCCGGUGUCAAGUUGAAAAUGAACGACAUGGCAAACAUUGAGUCCCUGGACUCAACACCAAUCGGAGGAACAACAGAUACGUCUCUCCCGACACAUGAUGCCAAUGUGGAGGAAAACGAGCGAGAGGAAGAGGACGUGGAGGAUGAAGACAUGGAGACACCAGUGCAGCUGAUAAUGGAGGAAUUAAAACUGGAGGAAAUAUGUGUGGUGUCAGUUCCUCAGAGCCGUGAUGGUCAGAGACUACCGGCUGGCCAGCCAACUGUGUCGGAUGAUUCUCAUCUAUGAACCAGACCAUCCUGAGGCCUCUGAGUUCCUCCCGCUGAUCCAGAGCAAGCUGUUAAAGGAACAAGAGGAAGACCAGAGCACUGACGAAGAAGAUGAGGAUGAGGAUGAAGACUUUGGGAGCAAUGAGGAGUCACCUCAGAGCUCAAGCUCAGAUGAUGAUGAUGAUGAAGAAGAAAAGCAAGUUAACAGCCUCCUUGUCACAUUUCUCCCCAAAGGUAUCGUAGCAAAACGAUGGAGGCCAUGACGGCACCUGACAUCUCUGCUGAGCCUCUUAUUUAAUCCACAACAUUUGCCUAUCCCGAAAAUUGUGAAUUUAUUUUUAAUAAUUAAAAACAAUAACAAAUUGUUGACAAAACUGAAUGGAAACAUAAUUGUAAAAUUUCAGUUAACUUUGAUAUUUUCUGCUGCCUACAAAAAAUACAGAAAUAUCUCAUGUGAACUAACCAAGCACAUUCCUUGUAUGCAUCCUUUCCUGGCCUUCAAGGUUCUACUAAGCAGGAAGGAGCUCACAAAAUGAUCAAUUAUCUUAGUUGGGCUACAGACAAAAAUAAAAUAAAUAUCAUCUUUCCUUAUUUCCAAUCUGGCAUCGCUAUCAGAAAUCGCUUAAAGCUGUAGUUGCCGGUGCUUUGGACCAUUCGAUGCCUUAAAAUAAAACAAUUAGUGCCCAUUAAUCACAAAUUGAACAAAGAGCAGUUCUUACAGUGAGUCCACAGUCCCCAUGUGGUCUCACUGCGGCUGUGUUUGUGUUAGCCUGCUAACAUUGGCUAACUAGCACCUAUGAGCAAAGGACAGCCGAGGCUGACGGGAAUGUCGCUGGUGUGUCAGGUCUUUGGACGAGUUGUGGAAAUAAACUGAAAUGUUAACAUAACAAGUGAGCUGUGAUCGCCGUUUCCCCCCAUUUUCAAUGUAAUCGUGGUCAAAUUGCUUCAAUCUGGACCAACGUGGAACACGUGACCAACCGCCAUCACAUCUGUGGCUAAAACUGAGUGUGAAUUACACUCAUCACUUGGUUUAACAUCUCCAAUCAGAUACGGAUACAUACAGCUGACAUUGUAACAAAGAGUGAAACUGUUUGGAUGAUGUUGCAGAACGUGAGGGAGAACGUGAGGGGGAACGUGAAGCAGAACGUGAGGGAGAACGUGAGGGAGAACGUGAGGCAGAACGUGAGGGAGAACGUGAGGCAGAACGUGAGGGAGAACGUGAGGCAGAACGUUGUGGAGAACGUGAUGGAGAACGUGAGGCAGAACGUGAGGCAGAACGUGAGGCAGAACGUGAGGCAGAACGUGAAACGGAACGUGAGGGGGAACGUGAAGCAGAACGUGAGGGAGAACGUGAGGCAGAACGUGAGGGAGAACGUGAGGCAGAACGUGAGGCAGAACGUGAGACAGAACGUGAGGCAGAACGUGAGGGAGAACGUGAGGGAGAACGUGAGGGAGAACUG